AAUGGAUGUUCUUUAUGGACCCGUUCAUAUUGCUACCGAUUUUAAUACUCAGCUCGUCGAUGAUAACGCUGGCAGUACAGCCCUUUGUUUACACGGUACUAGCACAGUACUUGGCUAGCUGGUACCAAAAACGUUGGACGGAACCGAGUCACAUGAAGGAGCAGGGCAAGGGCAGGGGCACGCGUGCAUCCCACAGUCAGCAGUCACCGCCAUGCCAUGCAUGUCUGUUAUGUGUAGCGCCCGAUGACAUCAGAAGCGGAACGAACCAUGU
rnacentral:misc_RNA from 1 species